UCCAAGAAGAGAUGCUGGCCUAUUGCAGGUAUAGUUUUUCCCUGCUUCUUGCUUUAAUUUUAUAUUUUAUGUUUCGUAUUUUUUAAUAUUUCCUUGUAUGUAUUAAUAGAUCGGAUGUGGAUAUUCUUCGCCACUGUUGCCUGGAGUUUCGAGCCCAGUUUUUGGAUGUGGCGGGUGUGGAUCCAUUCCAAUACGUGACCAAUGCGUCAGCCUGUAUGACAACGUGCAAGUGGCCACAUUCAAGCUGUCACAAUAGCCAUAGUGCCCACAUACGGAUACGUCAACUCCAUCAAUUACAGCCCUGAUUCGAUCUGGUGGUUGGACUUUGUUGCUGAUUCAGAAGGUCUACAGAUUUAACGUGCUCUGAAUGGCUCCGGAGAGCACAGAAUCGCCAGAAUCUCUGUAGACGGUUUCUGCCAAGUAACACAAACCGUCUAUCAGUUUCAGGGCUGUUUCUUUCAUGGAUGUAGUUCCUAUUAUAACGGUGAUAUCAUUCAUCCUUUGAAAGGGGUUUCCAUGGCAACGUUGAGAGAGAAAACGGAAGAAACCACAAGAAAACUUCCCAGGGUUUGACAGUCAUUGAAAUGUGGGAGCAUGAGUUUCAAAGGCAGAAGGAGGAAAAUCUAGAUCUCCAAGCUUUCCUGGAUCAACACCAUCUGAGGGACCGGCUCAAUCCUCGCGAAUCAUUUUUCGGAGGACGGACCAAUGCCCUCAAAUUGUUCCACGAGGGAGACGCAAAAUAU